UCCUACGGGAGGCAGCAGUGAGGAAUAUUGGUCAAUGGGCUUACGCCUGAACCAGCCAAGUCGCGUGAGGGAAGACUGCCCUAUGGGUUGUAAACCUCUUUUGCCGGGGAGCAAAGAGCGGGACGCGUCCCGCCUCGAGAGUACCCGGAGAAAAAGCAUCGGCUAACUCCGUGCCAGCAGCCGCGGUAAUACGGAGGAUGCGAGCGUUAUCCGGAUUUAUUGGGUUUAAAGGGUGCGCAGGCGGAAGCGCAAGUCAGCGGUAAAAUUGAGAGGCUCAACCUCUUCCCGCCGUUGAAACUGCGUUU
rnacentral:rRNA from 1 species